rnacentral:rRNA from 1 species
UACGGAGGGGCUAGCGUUGUUCGGAAUUACUGGGCGUAAAGGGCUCGUAGGCGGCCAACUAAGUCAGACGUGAAAUCCCCAGGCUCAACCUGGGAACUGCGUCUGAUACUGGAUGGCUUGAAUCCGGGAGAGGGAUGCAGAAUUCCAGGUGUAGCGGUGAAAUGCGUAGAUAUCUGGAGGAAUACCGGUGGCGAAGGCGGCAUCCUGGACCGGCAUUGACGCUGAGGAGCGAAAGCCAGGGGAGCAAACGGG